rnacentral:tRNA from 1 species
GGUCCCGUAGCUCAGCUGGAUAGAGCAUCGGUUUCCUAAACCGGGGGUCGCAGGUUCGAAUCCUGCCGGGGCCGCCA